GCAAAGAAAGUUAUUUCAAGCGCAGCCUUAAGAAAACGGUGUCAUGGGUAGGACGCAAAGCAUUAGACAAACCUGUUUACAGAGAAGAAUACCAUUUGACACCGAAAAACAGGAACCUUAGAAGCAAAACCAUGGUUCUCAAUGGAGCUCCAUUGGAGAUUACUAAGGACGGAAACAUCCCAGAAUUGGAACCUGCUCGUGUCCUUGCAAAUUCUCCGCUAACGAUCAGCCCUUUGUCCAUCAAGUUUGUAGUGUUGCCUUACUUUGAUGCUCAAUACGCUUGUGCAUGAUUUCUCUGUACUUGACCCUUGGUCAACUAGCAUACACCUAAGUUGCAGAAUUUGUGAGCCAAUGGCAAUUGUAAAAUCUGUACAAUAAACAAAAAAUAUUCUCAGCACAUAUUUCAUGCGGAGAAUAAGCUGAAAGAAAAGGGAGAAGUUUAUAAUAACUUAUGUUUCAUAUUGUCUUUAAUCUUCUAAUUUAUCUGAUGAACACCUCCAGAGAAUUUGUAAUAAGUUAUUUAUGUUUAAAUUUAAUAAUAAAUAUUUCUUAAAAAUUUUAAAAAGGAAAGAAAAAGGAAAUUGUUUUUGUUUUCUUUUCAUAAAACGACACAUAAAAACUGUUUUACAAACCUACAUUAUAAUGGGGUUUAAAUGACAGUGGCAUGUCCGUCAAUAAUUUGAGUUUUAUAACUAGAAAGAUCAGAGAACACAGUCUCCUAGAUGUACUCAAAUGACUGGAACAUAAGGGCGCCACAAACCACCAGGCAUUCUGAUCAAUUCAAGUCUCAGCUGAUCCAGCAGGUCCCGUUUGACAAAAAUGCCACCCCCAAAAUUCAAGCAGAUCUUCAACCCCCUCAAUGACCUACAGAGGAAAUAAUGAAUUUUCUUUUUACGUUCUCUCUGGAAUAGCUCAUCAUAGAUCAAACCCCAAUAUAGCAAGAAGUAGCUCAUUCCAUAAACCAUAGCCCAUUCCCUAUGAAACUUGGGUUCUUCGUUGUAUCAUUUGCAGGACUCCGAUUUCUUGAACUUCCAUUAAUUCCAAUUUGUACGACAUUAACUGCCACCGCAUGAAAUAAAACAAAAACAAAAACAAAACAAAAUUAACAUGCAUGUAAAGGGCAUCUAGAAAAUCACUUCAAGCUAAACUGGCCUAGGAAAUAAUAUGAAGGAUUUGAUGCGUUCAGAAGGACUAUCAGGAACAACCCUAUACCAGUCCUAAAAGUUAUUAGUGCAGGAUAAUACAAAAAUAAAAAUAAAAAAUUUUAAAUUAUAUAUAUUAAACCACAAUUAACCAUAGAUAUAUAAGGGAGCACAAAUCAUCAAACAGAUCAAACAAAAUGUCAAUGAAACUCGAAUUUUUUCGGACAGGCUUAACCCUGUUUGGACUUAAUGCAGAUUGCACACUAGGGUUGGUUGGUUCUCACAAAUGUCUACUGUGCUUGUUUCCCUAUUUCUACAAUUUUUUUCGUUUCCUACGUGUAUAGAAGAAGAAAAAAAAAAACCCUAUGCGACUACAGAUAUGCUUGAUGUCCUACACUGAGGGCAACAGAAUCUGCAUACUUUACCAACAUUGGAAGCAAAUAUCCCCUCAUGUUGAAACCUUUCCUUCCAAUCCAUACUCUGCAUUACGAAAAAUCAGCCUAGGCGGCAUGGGCGGGUCUGAGCGGCGCUAGGCGGGUCUGGGCGGCGCUAGGCGGUUCUGGGUGCCAGGGUGGGUCUGGUUUCUUUCAUUGGUUCUUUAAGCCCACUGCCUAGCGAUUUUUCAAACUUAUGCACUGCAGGGCUGGUCUAGGCGGCGCUGGGAGGGUCUGGGCGGCGCUAGGCUGGUCUAGGCGGGUCUAGGCGGCAGUAGGCGGGUCUAGGCGGCCCUAGACGGCUCUAGGAGGGUCUAGGCGGCGCUAGGCGGAUCUGGGUGCCAGGGUGGGUCUGGUUCUUUAGGGUUUAGGGUCUGCGUUUCAGGGUGUGUCUGAUUCAUAUGGGGAGAUGAUCCUGACCUGGAACUGACAGAACCUCCACCUGAUGUUGGUAAUAUCUUGGUUCUCUCGUAUAGAGCAGCAACAUGUACUAUUUAGGGUUUGAGGGUGUAUAUAUAAAGGAGGAGGGCUGGGGUUUUUUCAAGGGCGCAACAUAGAGUGGAGGAGUGAGUGAGGUGGAGGCAUAACGUGAGAUGUAAGCAAGAAAAGCUGAGCUGAAGCUUCGAAAAUGGAGAAAAUCAGGAGAGAGAGGGCCUCACAGCUCACGUUUUGCUUCGCAGCACGUCAUAACAGAACCAUAUAUAGGUCGGAGGCUCAGGCGGGCCCCAGCUAGCUCCAAAUCAAAAACCCCCAAAACCCCAAGUUCUUUUAUAAAAAUCAAAAAUUAAAAAAACGAAAGGUUGGGGUUUAUGCUUGGGAUUGGGAUGGAACUUGGAGAGAGAGAGAGAGAGAGAGAGAGAGAGAGAGAGGAGAGAGAGAGAGAGAGAGAGAGAGAGAGAGAGAGAGAGAGAGAGGCGUUUUAAGGGUGUGCGCUUGUUCGUUCGUCUCCUUUUCUCAUUUAGGUGGUGAGUAGAUCAUCAUUGCAGAGAUAUAGUGAAUCUUAUAAUGCAACAGUGAUAUGUGUAAGGAACCCUGAUGAAUGAACUUGAAGUCAUUUAGUUUGAAAUUUACAUAUAAGCUAACUUUCCUUCAGGUUAUUAAGAAUCUGACAGGUGGAGGGGCUGAUUACUCAUUUGAAUGUAUAGGUGACACUGGAAUGUAUGGUAACUACUGCUUUGCAGGCAUGUUGCGAUGUAAAUUUCUCAUAUCUCAGUGUUUUUCUUUUUCCCCUAAGCCUAUCUCAUAUUUAUUUUUGUGUAUGUGAUGAGUUCUUAUUUAUUGAACUUCACUCAUUUGUAUCUGGCGUUUCUUUGAAGGGAUGGGGGUUGACAGUUACACUUGGUAUGCCAAAAGUGAAGCCGGAGGGAACAGCUCAUUAUGGAAUAUUUCUCACUGGAAGAACAUUGAAGGGAUCUCUAUUUGGAGGAUGGAAACCUAAAUCUGAUCUCCCUUCAUUAGUAGAUAUGUACACAACAAAGGUAAAACUAACUAAAACUUCAUUGAAGCUUCAGUAAGUCCAAUCUCCCUUCUAAUAUUAAGUGUCCUUUUCCCUCCCAUUGUUGUAAAAUUUAAUGUGUACCAUGUAGCUGGAAAAUCUGCUGACAAUGUUUAGUCCUGGUUACAAGAAUGCGAUAGGGCAUGCCCAAACAAUUUAUCAUGUCUUAGUUUGAUAAAUGUCUAAUGUACGAACUUAUCAAAUCAUCUUGUUUGAAGUAGUAGGGUUAUAAUCUGAAUUUCGCUUAGUAUCAAAUUCUUAGGUUGAAUUUAUAAACCAUCUACAACAAGUUUCUCACUGUUAUUUCUUCUAUGUUAAACUAUUUCUUUCUUCAGCUUUAAAGGUGUGUAUGCUAAGAAAGCAUGCCAAUUUGCAGCCAGUAUGAUGCUAAAUUCUUUUGUUUUAUUUCAUGUUAACAGUUGAUCUCUGUUUUAAACAGCUGACAUGUUCCCAUUGACCGAUCAUGAUUAUUCUUCUAGUUUAAGAAAAAAAAUAUUUACUUGUUAUAUUUUUCAAUCCCCAAAAUAAAAUGCACAGCCUGUUUGAAUUCCAAAAAAUCUACCUGCAGGAAAUCCAAGUCGACGAGUACAUAACACAUAACCUGCCAUUUGAAGAUGUCAACAAAGCUUUCAAUCUCAUGAGAGAAGGGAAGUGUUUGCUUUGUGUUAUCCACAUGGCAAAGUAAUUUCUCUUCUUCUGUCAUAUUGAAGUUGCCUUGCCUGGAUACACGUGAGACAGUUAAUUUUACAAUAUUGUUCUGAUAAAAUAAAGUAAGUUUCAUAUGAAUUCUGAAAGUGGGUAUUUAUCUGUGGGCAAUCUACUCGAAUCUCAAGCCUAUCGAUCUCACAAAACCCGCCGUAUUACUUGUUUGUUACUAUGUUAAAACUAUUCUUAAAGUACUUAUGGGCAUGCACACUAGCAUUCUAUGGGAUUUGAGAAGACAGUUUUAAUUCAAUCUUCUUGGUCCAUACGUGCAGCGUUUUUGAUGGGUGAACAAAACCCAUAUGGUUUGAAGUAUCAAAUUAACAAGAGAGAGAGAUUCCUUUCCCCCUUUUUUUUUUUUUUGUUUUUUUUUUUUGAGGUACAAUCGAUAGUCUAAAUUAGAGGAGAUGGAGAUUUCUCACAGACACCCACACACAAUGAUGCCAUGUGGAUUCGAACCUGUGACCUAUGAUCUGCAAGUCAAGACCUUUUUCCAUUGGGCUAUACCUCAUUGGUGUUUAUGGUGUAAAAUGACUACCACACCCAUGGAAAUGGUGACAUGUGCCAAACACAUGAUUUCUUUUUAUGGAAAAACUAACUAAGAGAUGAAGGCAAAUAACAUUUUUUUUCUUCAAAUGUUAUGUUUUAAUGUUUUUAAGUUAAUUCAAUUUUUUAUUAAUUUCAAAAAGGUUUAUAGGUUUUUAAAGGACAAAAAAAAAAGGGUGUAUAAUGUUUAUUUAAUGGUAAACUUAACGGAUUGGACCAUAUGGGCUCAUAGUGCUAAACAUCAGACUAAAUUGGCUAAAUUGAAAACACAUGGACUAAAUUGGCAUACAUGGUAAAACAUAAGGAUCAUUUUGAUAUUUAAGCCUUUUAAUUAAAUCCAAAUUAAAGUUCAGAAGGUGAACGCUAUUUCUUUUGAGAAAAAAAAAUAAAAUAAAAUAAAGACAAAUGGGUUCAAAUUCAAUAUCCCUCUUAUUCAAUUUUUAAGUGUUUGCUUUUGCUAGCUAACUAUUGGAAUUUCGCAGGAGCACGUUAAGUUGCAAGUGUCUCAAAACUAGGGCUUUUAUAACAGACAAGGAAAUGUGGUAGUUCAAGUAUGUGUUUGAGGGUAAAAGCUUGUCUGAAAUUCUCCCCAUUUCAUAUUAGGGCUCGCAAUUCAACCACUAAUCCCAAUUUUUGAAGAACCCUAAACUCAAAUGACCAAUUUCAAGCCCCAAUAUGAAAUUCAGGGAGUUUCAAAUGAGCUUUUAUGCUCAAAGAUUUUGGGUUGACGAAAUUGCCCUUUGCACCGUCGAAGAAAUUGACAUGAGUACUAACUUGUCCUUGAAUUGCUACAAAUACGAAACUAUAGGGUCAAAAUUGACAGAAUUGAAACUAUAAAGUCAAAAGUAGUUGAAGUGCCAAACUACAGGGACCAAAAGUGACUGAAGGGUAUAUUUCUUUUCCUUAUCUAUAAAAAGCUAAAACGGGCAGUUUCCUUGGAUUUAUAUCUAUUUACUCAUUUGUGGUCAUCUCAUCAAUGGCGAUCCAGGCGUGCCAUGGUUGCAGAUAAACAUGGAGUCAACCCACAUCGCCUCAAGUCAUGUACAAGAUAGAAUCCUAUGAAAAUAGGAGAUACGAGUGAUCCAAUAAGAUUUAAUCGUAGAAAAUGUAUUAUUUCAGUUUAUCCUUAAAAAAAUUAUGGAAGUUGGAACCAUAACUAGUAAUUUUACGAACUUCUCAAAUCCGACUAACGCAAAAGAGCAAAGUUGGUUUAUCAAUGGUAUAUCAUCAAUUUUUAUGUUUUUAAGAAGGAAAUUAAUCAUGAAAUAUUUGACCAUUCGAUACAAGAGUUUUAGGACAAAUCUUUGAAAGGAAUUAAAACUAUUUUCUAGAGAAUAACCACGUUAUAUUUUCGGAGCUUCUCAAAUUUAGUUUUUUCUUCAAUACAUAUUUAACUUAGGAAUAUAUAUUUUACCAUUUCCUACCUUUUACUUUAUAUAUAAAUUAAGAGCAACUUUUCGUCAUGACAACAAACAAAGCAAGAAUACAAAAGUAAGCUUUGAAUUUGAUUGCAAACCAGAGUCAAAAAUUAUAAAAAUACUACAAACUUAAAGACAUUCUCUAAAGCUAAAGCAAAAACCUGUCUUCUAGGAGAAGAACAUUUGGUGUUCGCAUAACGUAUGGGUAAAGACAAAGCUGUGAAAAAAUAAAAAAUAAAAAAUAAAGCCACCUUCCAGAUCCUAUAUUAGUAUGUUAAAUUAAAGAAUAUGUGCUAACCAAAAGCUCUCACUUUUUACAUUAAAAUAACAAUAUCAUACUCUCUCUGGAAUCUACCUUUCCCCUCUCAAAUUAUACUUAACCGUUUCUCACAUGUAGCCUCUGUUUUUCUUUUGUCUUUUUUCCCAGAGUACACCGCAACAGUGUGCCAUGGAACCAUAUGAACAGUUCGUAUGCUUAAAUAAACUAAAACGCGAGCUCAGCGAUCCUCAAUUAGUCGCUAAAUGAAUGUCACUUUUCCAAGCUGGACCCAUUUCCCAUCACUGUUUCGUGUCUCCGAAAGGUCCAGCAAUGCCAACAACUCCAAUUGGGGGACAGAGAAAGCUCGCUUUUUAGCUGCGAAGCAUCACAUAAUUGAUGUGCUCUAUCUGAAGGCGUUUGCUUUGAGUUUGUGCUUCCACAAUGGCAUUGUCAAAGGUAAAUUUUUAGUUUUUGAGCUUAAUUUUCAUUUGGGUUAGCCUUAUUUUGAUCAGUAGGUGUCUGGGUUGCUUUGGUUUUAGUUCUUCAGAUGCUGAUUCUUGAAAUCUAGAUAUAUGUCUCUAAGGAAAAGCUUUUUUUCUUUUGGCUUUAUUUGUGGUAACUCUCAACUGGGUUGUCCAUGUUUGUCUUGAAUUUUGUUAUUUUGGUGGGCAGCCAUGGAUAAACACCCACCGUCUUCAUUUAUGAUAAGCUCUGGUAAUCGGUGAAAUACUCUUCUUCUCCUUCACAUCUAUAUAUAGUCUUUUGAUGUUAUAUCUUGAAUUUGUACUUUUGAAUCGGAUUCUCUUUAUCUAAUGCAACUGGUAAAUGUUGGUGCGUUGCUUUUACCAACAAUUAAUGCGAAUGAAGGUUCAUUCAUGGCAUUGGCAAUGCAAUGCCAUCAUUCAUAUAGACAUCCCCUAGUUCGAAUUGGUUCAGUAUUCAUCCCUUGUCUUCCUUGGUAGUGUUUGUUAUUCCAACUCACUUCGGAUUUCCUUGGAAUUUCCAGUGAGCUAACCAUCACUGGAUCUUCCUCGGAAUCCUAAAUCUGGUUUUACGAGAAAAUAGUAGCUUCUGGUACUAAUUAUCUUUACUUUUACGUCCCAAAGACAAUGCAUUUCUUUCUCUGUUGCAGUUUUUCAAAUGUUACUUUUUGCUUACACUGAUUUUCUAUGCAAAAUUUAGCUUUAUGUAUUUAUAAGCUCUUUAGAAACUGAAAAUAUGAAGAAUAGUACAUGUCUCUUGUCAGUCAAAUGACCAUUACAGAUUCUUUGUUUUCUUUUCCAUUUGCACUAAUGAAUCUCCUCCUCUCCAUCCAUUAUUAGUGAUAGCAUUACCACCUCAGCUAGUAGAUGUCGCCUCAUCAGGUGCCAUGUCAACAGCCAGAGAAGCGUCUGCAACUGAAGAAUCUUCUAGAAGUCUUCCUAGUUAGUUACACAGUCAAAGUUGUUAAAAUUUGUUGACAGCAGUCAUAACUAAUCAUUAGGUAAUUUGUUAAACUCAUCAUAGAUUAGUUAAGCUCAUUAGGAUAAUUUGUUAGCCUUUACGUAUAAAUAUAAAUGUCCCUGAUGUAAUUGUGAUUCAAUGAGUUUAUCUUUUCUUGCAGUUAAUUUGGAUUGGUUGAGGUGGUAGCGAUACUGGCACAAUUGAAUUUCCUAUGGAAUUCCGUCUCUCCUUGGUUCUCAUUCUGGUUUCUCUCCCUGCAAUUUUAGCUCAAGAUGUUGGGAAUACUAAAAAAGCUGGAAAUGUUAAGGUUGUGGUUAAUGGGAUUUUAGCUAUUGCACGAGUUGAUAAUAAUUUCAUCUGUGCCACUAUUGAUUGGUGGAAUCAUGAAAAGUGCGACUACAACCAGUGUCCAUGGGGAUCUGCAUCUGCGUUAAAUUUGGUAAGCACCCAGAGAUACCUCUGUAUGCAUUUGCUUUUUUCUUUUUCUGUCAAAUAGUAAGAAGGGGAGUAUGAAGUUAAAUUAAUACUGUGGUUUUCUUUUCUCCAGAACUUGUCUCAUCCUUUGCUUGCCAAGUCAAUCCAAGGUUUGUCUAUCUGUGUUAAUAAGUUCACAUCUUUUGGACAAUACUAUUUAUUUUUAAGUUAGAAUCAAGUGUCAAUUAGAACAGAUGAAUUAAAGUCUUCUGCUUAUGUUUGUUUGAAUAACUUUAUCUACAAACUAAAUUUACUCUUCAACAUUGGUGGCUUGAUAGCUUUCAAUCAGUUAAGGAUCAGAAUUGGAGGUUCCUUGGAAGACCAACUCUUGUACGAUGUAGGAAAUUUGAAAUAUCCUUGCCAUCCAUUCAGAAAGAAGAGUCAUGGCUUGUUUGGAUUUUCUAGAGGAUGUUUACCUAUGAGUAGAUGGGAUGAACUGAACCAAUUUUUCAGUAAGACAAGGUAAGAUUCGGGUUAUCGACUUUCCUAUCCCAACCAAAUUUUAUUUUACUUUUAUAAAAAAGUUGGGUCUUCUCCAUCUUCGUUCCUCAAAAUUAGGUGGUUGAUGCUUGAUUUAUCAUUUAUCUUAGAUCGUGUGUCUGAGGAACAUCUUUACUAUGUUGUUGUCUAUCCUAACAAAUCUAAAAUAAAAAAGUCUUCAUUGUGUCAAAUGCAUAUUGGGAGAAUCUCUAAUUGUUUAGAAGUGUAAAACUUUCUUCAGAGGUCCAACAACUUUCACUGGUUGUAUUAUUCAAAAAUUCAUGGCAGAUAGCCUCUUUGUUUAAGAAAAGAGGAAAGAUAAGGAGGGGUUGGUGUGUGUGCGUGGACGUAGAGUGGAGAGGGCUUGAAUGCUUCCUUGUGCUGACCUAUUAUUUAUGUCUUAUGUUUUCAGGCCCAUCGUCACAUUUAGCUUGAAUGCACUGUCAGGGAGGCACCACAAAAGCGGGGGUGUUUGGGUUGGAGAUUGGGACUCUAGCAACGCUUAUGAUUUUAUUAAUUAUACCGUUUCGAAGGGAUACAAGAUAGAUUCAUGGGAAUUCGGUAUGGAACAAUAGACAAGUCUCCUUUUCUUCCCUCGUUCUACUUUGCCGUCACUUAUGUUCAUGUUACUUUAGGUAAUGAGCUCAGUGGUCGUGGUGUUGGAGCUAGUGUUGGAGCUGAACAAUAUGGAAAAGACUUGAUCAAGCUUAAACAUAUUAUCAACCAGUUGUACAAUAAGUCCCGCACUAAACCUGCACUUGUGGCACCUGGAGGAUUCUAUGACCAAGCAUGGUUUGCCAAGCUUCUUCAGGCUUCUGGUUCAGGGAUAGUCAAUGUUAUCACUCAGCAUAUGUACAAUUUGGGUGCAGGUAAAUUCUGUUAAGACUUUUAAUAAAUGCACAGUUUAUAUAUGCUUAAAUAGUACUCUUUUGAGGUAUAGUAAGUAUUCACACACGGUAAGCCCCGUAUGCAUAAAUUAUUUUCCUAUUUCCCCUCUGCUUUGACAAUUUAGCUGUGAUUGUCAGGUGUUGAUCCCAAGUUGGUGAGCAGAAUUUUGAAUCCCGGUUACUUGGACCUUGCAUCUGGAACAUUCCAUGAUCUUGCGCAAACGGUGAAAAAGAACGGCCCUUGGGCUUCUAUAUGGGUCGGAGAGUCUGGAGGGGCUUAUAACAGUGGUGGUCGUAAUGUGUCUGACACAUUUGUGAACAGCUUUUGGUAAUCUUGAUUGUCACACUACUUGAAACAUUAUGUAUUUUUCAUUGCAAGCUUUUGAUUGUAGAAACAGAGAAAUUUACCAUUGUUCACUGUAUUGUUGUGUAAUCAACAAGCCAGAGUUACUAUUUAUAUAUGAAUUUCAGGUACUUGGAUCAGCUUGGAAUGUCAGCCAAGUACAAUACCAGAGUAUAUUGCAGGCAGUCACUAGUUGGUGGAAACUAUGGUCUCCUCAACAGAACGUCAUUUGUUCCGAACCCUGAUUACUACAGGUAAAGCAUGGGUGGGGUAUAAGAAGGAUUUUCUUUUACUUGAUAUACUACUUAUCAAAAACUGAUUUUUGUUUUUGUUUUUUUAUAUUCUGAAUAGUGCGCUUCUAUGGCAUCGACUUAUGGGACAAGGUGUUCUUGCUGUUAACAGCAAUGCUUCAGCAGAUUUACGCAUUUACGCCCAUUGUGCAAGAGGAAGAGUAAGUCUGCUUUGUAGGAAGAUUUUGUGCCAAGCAUAUAAAAGGAAAUAAAAUUGGUUCAAAUUCAUAGGAAACCAGGAAUACUAUUAAGUCUAGCAACACUACUAAGCCUAUAUAAAACAUGAAAAUAUUGUAGUGAACGUCCCUUGUAACUGCCUGAUAGCGCAAUAACUUAACAGAAUUCUAAUUUUGACACUGAUCUUACUCUUACUGUUUGCAGGCGGGUAUAACUGUAGUCCUUAUCAACUUAAGCAAUGACACCGAUUUCAUUGUCAAUGUUGAAAAUAUUUUGGACUUCAAUUUGGGUGCUCACGAGAGAAACAUUAGCAAAGAAAGUUAUUUCAAGCGCAGCCUUAAGAAAACGGUGUCAUGGGUAGGACGCAAAGCAUUAGACAAACCAGUUUAUAGAGAAGAAUACCAUUUGACACCGAAAAACAGGAACCUUAGAAGCAAAACCAUGGUUCUCAAUGGAGCUCCAUUGGAGAUUACUAAGGACGGAAACAUCCCAGAAUUGGAACCUGCUCGUGUCUUUGCAAAUUCUCCGCUAACGAUCAGCCCUUUGUCCAUCAAGUUUGUAGUGUUGCCUUACUUUGAUGCUCACUACGCUUGUGCAUGAUUUCUCUGUACUUGACCCUUGGUCAACUAGCAUACAC
rnacentral:lncRNA from 1 species